UACGGAGGGUGCAAGCGUUGUUCGGAAUUAUUGGGCGUAAAGGGCAGGUAGGUGGUCUUGUAAGUCUACUGUGAAAUCCCCGAGCUUAACUUGGGAAGUGCGGUGGAUACUGCAAGACUAGAGUGCUGGAGGGGUUCGUGGAAUUCCUGGUGUAGCGGUGAAAUGCGCAGAUAUCAGGAGGAACACCAAUUGCGAAGGCAGCUCGCUGGGACGUUACUGACGCUGAGACGCGAAAGCGUGGGGAGCAAACAGG
rnacentral:rRNA from 1 species